rnacentral:rRNA from 1 species
GGCAGCAGUGGGGAAUAUUGGACAAUGGGCGCAAGCCUGAUCCAGCAAUGCCGCGUGUGUGAAGAAGGCCUUAGGGUUGUAAAGCACUUUCAGUAGGGAAGAAAUGCGUGUAGUUUAUAACUGCGCGUCUUGACGGUACCUACAGAAGAAGCACCGGCUAACUCCGUGCCAGCAGCCGCGGCAAUACGGAGGGUGCAAGCGUUAAUCGGAAUUACUGGGCGUAAAGCGCACGCAGGCGGUUUGUUAAGUCGGAUGUGAAAUCCCCGGGCUCAACCUGGGAACUGCAUUCGAAACUGGCAAGCUUGAGUCUUGUAGAGGGGGGUAGAAUUCCAGGUGUAGCGGUGAAAUGCGUAGAGAUCUGGAGGAAUACCGGUGGCGAAGGCGGCCCCCUGGACAAAGACUGACGCUCAGGUGCGAAAGCGUGGGGAGCAAACAGGAUUAGAUACCCUGGUAGUCCACGCCCUAAACGAUGUCAACUAGCUGUUGGGGCCUUCGGGCCUUGGUAGCGCAGCUAACGCGUGAAGUUGACCGCCUGGGGAGUACGGUCGCAAGAUUAAAACUCAAAGGAAUUGACG